rnacentral:lncRNA from 1 species
UGGGACCUGCCUGGGAGCAGAGUGCCCCACUGUCGUCCACAGGCUCUCCCUCUGCCAUGGGAGAAGUGGGAACACGUGCCUCCACACACACCUGGUCCCAGCUUUGCAGACCUGGCUCCUUGGCUAGGGCCGUGGAAGGGGACCAGCUUUCGUCAGGAGUGCUGUGGGACAGUCCCUGGACCCCUGUGCACUUCCUUACCCACCCUGCACUGGCUUCCUGCACUACAGGAGGUAGGCUGGAGACGCAGUGCCGUGUCACACCUCAGUACUUGGGUGGGUGUACACAAUACGUAACCUGGUCCGUGGCCCGUGUGCAAAUGUCACCAACCGUCCAGAUAACGCCCUGACACCGUCUCUCCUGUGCAGGGUCCAGGGUCCCACGUGGCGUUUCUACACUGUCUCUCCUGUGCAGAGCCCAGGGUCCCACGUGGCGUUUCUACACUGUCUCUCCUGUGCAGGGUCCAGGGUCCCAACUGGCGUUUCUACACUGUCUCUCCUGUGCAGAGCCCAGGGUCCCACGUGGCAUUUCUACACUGUCUCUCCUGUGCAGGGUCCACGGUCCCACGUGGUGUUUCUACACUGUCUCUCCUGUGCAGGGUCCAUGGUCCCACGUGGCGUUUCUACGGAUGAUGACCUGAUGCCUGUCUCUCCUGUGCAGGGUCCACGGUCCC